rnacentral:siRNA from 1 species
GACCGCCGACCUUUUCGGUUGA